rnacentral:rRNA from 1 species
AUUGAACGCUGGCGGCAGGCUUAACACAUGCAAGUCGAGCGGGGGAAGGUAGCUUGCUACCGGACCUAGCGGCGGACGGGUGAGUAAUGCUUAGGAAUCUGCCUAUUAGUGGGGGACAACAUCUCGAAAGGGAUGCUAAUACCGCAUACGUCCUACGGGAGAAAGCAGGGGAUCUUCGGACCUUGCGCUAAUAGAUGAGCCUAAGUCGGGUUAGCUAGUUGGUGGGGUAAAGGCCUACCAAGGCGACGAUCUGUAGCGGGUCUGGGAGGAUGAUCCGCCACACUGGGACUGAGACACGGUCCAGACUCCUACGGGAGGCAGCAGUGGGGAAUAUUGGACAAUGGGGGGAACCCUGAUCCAGCCAUGCCGCGUGUGUGAAGAAGGCCUUAUGGUUGUAAAGCACUUUAAGCGAGGAGGAGGCUACUUUAGUUAAUACCUAGAGAUAGUGGACGUUACUCGCAGAAUAAGCACCGGCUAACUCUGUGCCAGCCGCCGCAGUAA